GCCCAGAUAGCUCAGUUGGUAGAGCAGCGGACUGAAAAUCCGCGUGUCCGUGGUUCGAAUCCGCGUCUGGGCA
rfam:Bartonella bacilliformis KC583, complete genome.